rnacentral:rRNA from 1 species
ACUGCUCAGUAACACGUGGACAACCUGCCCUUAGGUUGGGUAUAAACCCGGGAAACUGGGUAUAAUACCCGAUAGGUCUCGAUUGCUGGAAUGCAUCGAGAUUUAAAGCUCCGGCGCCUAAGGAUGGGUCCGCGGCCUAUCAGGUAGUAGUGGGUGUAGCGUACCUACUAGCCUACGACGGGUACGGGUUGUGAGAGCAAGAGCCCGGAGAUGGAUUCUGAGACACGAAUCCAGGCCCUACGGGGUGCAGCAGGCGCGAAAACUUUACAAUGCUGGCAACAGCGAUAAGGGAACCUCGAGUGCCAGGUUACAAAUCUGGCUGUCGAGAUGCCUAAAAAGCAUUUCAUAGCAAGGGCCGGGCAAGACCGGUGCCAGCCGCCGCGGUAACACCGGCGGCUCGAGUGGUAACCGUUAUUAUUGGGUCUAAAGGGUCUGUAGCCGGCCGGAUAAGUCUCUUGAGAAAUCUGGCAGCUUAACUGUCAGGCUUUCAGGAGAUACUGUCUGGCUCGAGGCCGGGAGAGGUGAGAGGUACUUCAGGGGUAGGGGUGAAAUCUUGUAAUCCUUGAAGGACCACCAGUGGCGAAGGCGUCUCACCAGAACGGACCUGACGGCAAGGGACGAAAGCUAGGGGCACGAACCGGAUUAGAUACCCGGGUAGUCCUAGCCGUAAACGAUACUCGCUAGGUGUCGGCCACGGUGCGACCGUUGUCGGUGCCGUAGGGAAGCCGUGAAGCGAGCCACCUGGGAAGUACGGCCGCAAGGCUGAAACUUAAAGGAAUUGGCGGGGGAGCAC